UCGCAAGUCCGCCUUGUCGCUGCCCGACCGUCGGGGAGAGGAAAGUCCGGGCAACACAGAGCACCGCGCAAGCUAACGGCUUGAUAUCCGUGAGGGUAUAGGAGCGUAACAGAGAAUGACCGCCUGUACGGGACUUGGCGUUUCGUGUGCAGGCAAGGGUGAAAAGGCGGGGUAAGAGCCCACCGCGGAGGCAGCGAUGUCGUCCGGCCGUACGUCUCGCGGGUUGCAAGACCAUGUAUACCGGCAAUCAAGGGCUGCUCGUCCGAUGCCGGGGGGUAGGUUGCUUGAGACGGCGGGAGACCGCCGCCCUAGAUAAAUGACAAGGGCCCCGGAAGGGGUACAGAACCCGGCUUACAGGACUUGCGAUUAA
rfam:Alistipes sp. CHKCI003 isolate CHKC3 genome assembly, contig: {contig27}